rnacentral:rRNA from 1 species
AGCGAACGCUGGCGGCAGGCUUAACACAUGCAAGUAGAACGCCCCGCAAGGGGAGUGGCAGACGGUGAGUAACGCGUGGGAACGUACCCUUUGGUUCGGAAUAACUUGGGGAAACUCAAGCUAAUACCGGAUAAGCCCUUAUGGGGAAAGGUUUACUGCCGAAGGAUCGGCCCGCGUCUGAUUAGCCAGUUGGUGAGGUAAUGGCUCACCAAGGCGACGAUCAGUAGCUGGUCUGAGAGGAUGAUCAGCCACACUGGGACUGAGACACGGCCCAGGCUCCUACGGGAGGCAGCAGUGGGGAAUAUUGGACAAUGGGGGCAACCCUGGUCCAGCCAUGCCGCGUGAGUGAUGAAGGCCUUAGGGUUGUAAAGCUCUUUUACCCGGGACGAUAAUGACUGUACCGGGAGAAUAAGCCCCGGCUAACUUCGUGCCAGCCGCCGCCGUAA